AGAGUUCAAACUUCAGAUGAGACUUGCUUGCUUGCUUUUCUCUACAUCCAGAAGCCUCAGCAUUUUAACCAGCAAGGUAUCACCAGCUAACUUGAAGGAGGCUAAAAAGUUUGCUCAAAAAACCGCUAGCAUUUCCCAUAAUUGGGCAUGUUUGAUCAAGUCAAUCGAGGAAAAUAGAGUUUCAUUUUCACAAGCAAAAGAU
rnacentral:misc_RNA from 1 species